rnacentral:rRNA from 1 species
AUUGAACGCUGGCGGCAUGCCUUACACAUGCAAGUCGAACGGUAACAGGUCUUCGGAUGCUGACGAGUGGCGAACGGGUGAGUAAUACAUCGGAACGUGCCCGAUCGUGGGGGAUAACGAGGCGAAAGCUUUGCUAAUACCGCAUACGAUCUACGGAUGAAAGCGGGGGAUCUUCGGACCUCGCGCGGACGGAGCGGCCGAUGGCAGAUUAGGUAGUUGGUGGGUUAAAAGCUUACCAAGCCGACGAUCUGUAGCUGGUCUGAGAGGAUGAUCAGCCACACUGGGACUGAGACACGGCCCAGACUCCUACGGGAGGCAGCAGUGGGGAAUUUUGGACAAAGGGCGAAAGCCUGAUCCAGCCAUGCCGCGUGCAGGAUGAAGGCCUUCGGGUUGUAAACUGCUUUUGUACGGAACGAAAAGCCUCUUUCUAAUAAAGAGGGGUCAUGACGGUACCGUAAGAAUAAGCACCGUCUAACUACGUG